UAGGGAAUAUUAGAAAUGGACGAAAGUCUGAUCUAGCAACACCGCGUGUGCGAAGAAGGCCUUCGGGUCGUAAAGCACUUUUUGGAAAGAAUAGGAAGGAAUGUACUUCCAGAAUAAGUCUCGGCUAACUACGUGCCAGCAGCCGCGGUAACACGUAGGAGGCAAACGUUAUCCGGAUUUACUGGGCGUAAAGCGCGUGUAGGUGGUACUGUAAGUAGGGCGUGAAAGCUCCUGGCUCAACUGGGAGAGGCCGUUCUAAACUACAGAACUAGAGGAUGGUAGGGGGAGGUGGAAUACCAGGUGUAGCGGUGGAAUGCGCAGAUAUCUGGAGGAACACCGGUGGCGAAGGCGGCCUCCUGGACCAUUCCCGACACUCAGACGCGAAAGCUAGGGUAGCA
rnacentral:rRNA from 1 species